ACUUUGUUAUUUAUUUUCAGGUCCUUAAAAUGCUCUGCAUACAGAUGUAUCCAUGUGGUGUAAAAGGAGAAAGGCUUUUUUUUUUUUAGCAAGGUAGUGGAUGACAGCUGAAGAAUCUGCUGCUUUUGACUAAAGAUGGCACUAUUCCUUUACUCAGAAAAGGCAUGAGAAAAGUUGUUAACAGUUUAUAUGAUGACACUGCGGUGCUUUAUUCCUGUCUGCCUCCCUAAAUAUGUUCUGGAGAAAACCAAUUUUUCCAAGCACUGGAGGAAACCAAGGAAAGUUGACAAAUCCAUCUCUAAAUAGGGGAAAAUGAACACAAUACUGGCUGAAAAACAAGAAGAUUCAAAGGAGCUAUUAAAUUUGAAAAAAGUCAGCAUCAAAUCAAAUUUGAUGUCUAAAUAGAAAGCUGUCUCACAGGCCAUUGGAAUUCCAAAGAAAGAUUAAAAUGAAAAGACCACAACAGAAUUGUACAUCCACUUGUGUCUAGUCCGAACCAAUUCAGAGGAGCAUUGCACCCAAUCGGUAUUAAAGACCAAUUGUCUCAUUUACACUAAUUUCCUUAGGGGAUUGGUCUGAGAGAUAUCAUAAAAACCCUUUCAUUACACUGAUCUACUUAAAACAGCAGUGGCAGAACUUGCCUUUUGUAUUGUGGCUUAGCCCUUGUAUUCAGCUCAGAUGAGGGACUUGAGUACUUGUCUCCAGUUUCUGAGAUUGUCUUAACUACUAAUCUGUAGAAUAGUUCACACUGGGAGUAAUAUUUUUCUUGCACUGCUGAGUAACAAGGUAAGAAGUUCUGGGAAAAGUAGCCAGAACAUCACCAUUUCUCUGUUGGCUCCCUGAAUGCUAGACCAGACAUUCAUGUUUGUUGUCUGCUUUUUGUGCCUUUGUCAAUUUUCUCUAGAUUACAUUAUAGACAACAUCACUUUGUGUGUUUUAAGAGAAAAAUGGAUCCCUUGCAAUAAUAUCUGGGAGAUGUUAGACUUAUCUGGAGAGUGUUUUGAUUUGUGAACCUAUGUGGAGAUAUUUUACUGAGCAUAAAACACCUACGUC
rnacentral:lncRNA from 7 species